CGUAUCAUGAAACCUCUAUCAUGAUCCGAAGCCCCUAGAACAUUAACAUAGGCUCUCCACCUCCUACGUCAAUACGUCCCCGUCGUACAGAACGGUAACAUGUCUCUCAAUUAUCCAAGCUUGGAUAUACGGGGAAACCCAACCCCUUGGGAGGGUGGAUUGCAUGGUAGUAUUUAGAGGG
rnacentral:ribozyme from 1 species